rnacentral:rRNA from 1 species
UACGUAGGGUGCGAGCGUUAAUCGGAAUUACUGGGCGUAAAGCGUGCGCAGGCGGUUUUGUAAGUCUGCUGUGAAAGCCCUGGGCUCAACCUGGGAAUGGCGGUGGAUACUGACAAGCUAGAGUGCGGUAGAGGAGGGUGGAAUUCCCGGUGUAGCGGUGAAAUGCGUAGAGAUCGGGAGGAACAUCAGUGGCGAAGGCGGCCCUCUGGACCAGCACUGACGCUGAGGCACGAAAGCGUGGGGAGCAAACAGG